rnacentral:rRNA from 1 species
UACGUAGGGUGCAAGCGUUAAUCGGAAUUACUGGGCGUAAAGCGUGCGCAGGCGGUGAUGUAAGACAGGUGUGAAAUCCCCGGGCUUAACCUGGGAACUGCAUUUGUGACUGCAUCGCUGGAGUGCGGCAGAGGGGGAUGGAAUUCCGCGUGUAGCAGUGAAAUGCGUAGAUAUGCGGAGGAACACCGAUUGCGAAGGCAGUUCGCUGGGCCGGCACUGACGCUGAGGCACGAAAGCGUGGGGAGCAAACAGG